GGGCUUGCGGCUGUAGCGCUUGCCGAUGCCCUCUAGCCUAAGGGCUUCCAUGGGUGCUAUACUACUUAAGCCCCCGGUCCAGCGCGGCGGGCCAGGCGUGAACCGGGUCAGGUCCGGAAGGAAGCAGCCCUAAGCGCCUUGGUCCGGGCGCCGCUGGGAAGCCGGGGGCGCUUCCUUGGCGAUUCCCCUUUGGAUCAGGUCU
rnacentral:misc_RNA from 1 species